UGGCGAGUGGCCAAGCGGUAAGGCGCCUGACUCUGGAUCAGGAGAUCGAAGGUUCGAAUCCUUCCUCGCCAG
rnacentral:tRNA from 1 species